GUGCCAGCCGCCGCGGUAAUACGUAGGUGGCAAGCGUUGUCCGGAUUUACUGGGCGUAAAGGAUGUGUAGGCGGAUAUUUAAGUGAGAUGUGAAAUCCCCGGGCUCAACUUGGGGGCUGCAUUUCAACCUGGAUGUCUGGAGUGCAGGAGAGGAAAGCAGAAUUCCUAGUGUAGCGGUGAAACGCGUAGCGAAUAGGAAGAAUACCAGUGGCGAAGGCGGAUUUCUGGACUGUAACUGACGCUGAGGCAUGA
rnacentral:rRNA from 1 species